AGUCUUCUGGCCCCUCUUGUUUUUAUAUCUGGCACCCAGAGGGUCAGAUGUGUUGGUGCCGGUGGACUCCGAUCGUUGAAAUGGAGAGGGGAGGUGCUCUUGUCAGCCCUUGUCUGCAACUCUCCUGUUUCCUUUCAAAUCAUACAGCUAAUAGUUUUUCACUGAGUUACCGAGGACUAGUAUUCAAAGUUGUUUUUUGCAAAACCCCCCACGAAAAACAAGUACAAAUAUAACCGCAACCGGUGAUUAACGGGGUCCGAGCAAAAUAAAAAUUCAAGAACACACUGAACUCUCAACCUAAGGAUCACCAGUACACAGCAUUAUCCCGUUGAGCCACUGACAUUCCUGAACUGCAUAAAGCCUCAUUCACAUAGUGAAAAUGUCGAUUGAUAAGCACACAACAUCAAGAAAACUCCCAAGCACACAUUUUACAAGAGAAUUAAGGGCUUUCUUAAAAGAGUACCAGAUCUGAAAAUGUGCAUGAUAGAGAGCGAUGACCUGAUGAUAGCUGUAUGCUAGUUAUACAAUAACAAAAUGGUCACAUAGGCGAAAUGGGUUGAGACUGUGGUCGUUCGGGUUUUCUAUGAAAUUGUGGGAAAAGUGAACAUUUUUAUAGCAGAAGACCAGGGUGAAAAAGAUGCAUCUGAUUUUAGAGAUUAAUAGGAUGAAAGAAUUUUGAGUCCAGGUCAAUCUAGUAAGGAGAAAUAAGGCUAGUUCAUAAUUGUUUUAAAUACUGCCACCUUUGGGUGCAGUACCACAAUUUGCGUUUAUGGGUAGGGGGGGGUAUUGGUAUCCACCUAAUAGUCGUAUGGUUUUUUUUUU